rnacentral:tRNA from 12 species
GCGGGCGUAGCUCAGGGGUAGAGCAUUACCUUGCCAAGGUAAGGGUCGAGAGUUCGAAUCUCUUCGCCCGCUCCA